GCACUGCUGAAGAGUCUCACAUAUGGACGAAAUGACCAUCCAGUGC
rnacentral:hammerhead_ribozyme from 1 species